UACGUAGGGGGCAAGCGUUGUCCGGAUUUAUUGGGCGUAAAGCGCGUGUAGGCGGCCACGCAGGUCCGCUGUGAAAACUCGAGGCUCAACCUCGAGCUGUCGGUGGAAACCGCGUGGCUAGAGUCCGGAAGAGGAGAGUGGAAUUCCUGGUGUAGCGGUGAAAUGCGCAGAUAUCAGGAAGAACACCCGUGGCGAAGGCGGCUCUCUGGGACGGUACUGACGCUGAGACGCGAAAGCGUGGGGAGCGAACAGG
rnacentral:rRNA from 1 species